UGAAUCCAUAGGUUAAUGAGGCGAACCGGGGGAACUGAAACAUCUAAGUACCCCGAGGAAAAGAAAUCAACCGAGAUUCCCCCAGUAGCGGCGAGCGAACGGGGAGGAGCCCAGAGCCUGAAUCAGUGUGUGUGUUAGUGGAAGCGUCUGGAAAGGCGCGCGAUACAGGGUGACAGCCCCGUACACAAAAAUGCACAUGCUGUGAGCUCGAUGAGUAGGGCGGGACACGUGGUA
rnacentral:rRNA from 1 species